rnacentral:rRNA from 1 species
AGAGUUUGAUCCUGGCUCAGGAUGAACGCUGGCGGUAUGCCUAACACAUGCAAGUCGUACGAGAGUUUUUAACUCUAGUGGCGGACGGGUGAGUAACACGUGGGAAUUUGCCUUUAGGAGGGGGAUAACAAUUGGAAACGAAUGCUAAUACCCCAUAUGCUUUCGAGUGAAAUGAAUUUUUUAUUUGCCUAAAGAGAAGCUCGCGGCUGAUUAGCUUGUUGGUAAGGUAAGAGCUUACCAAGGCGACGAUCAGUAUCUGGUUUGAGAGGACGAUCAGACACACUGGAACUGAGACACGGUCCAGACUCCUACGGGAGGCAGCAGUGGGGAAUUUUCCGCAAUGGGCGAAAGCCUGACGGAGCAAUACCGCGUGAGGGAAGAAUGCCUAUGGGUUGUAAACCUCUUUUUUCAGGGAGGAAUAAAUGACGUGUACCUGAAGAAUAAGCAUCGGCUAACUCCGUGCCAGCAGCCGCGGUAAGACGGAGGAUGCAAGUGUUAUCCGGAAUCACUGGGCGUAAAGCGUCUGUAGGUGGUUUAAUAAGUCAACUGUUAAAUCUUGGGGCUCAACUUCAAAAUCGCAGCUGAAACUAUUAGACUAGAGUAUAGUAGAGGUAAAGGGAAUUUCCAGUGUAGCGGUGAAAUGCGUAGA